CUCAUUCCCGCAUCGUCCACAACGAUUUGUGCUUGAUGAAAGACUUUCGCUUGAUUUCUUCUUCCUCCCUUUCCUAGGCUUUUCGGUUGUCUUUUAUAUAUCGGUGUAUCAUCGAAGGAUAUAGCUGAAAUAGACAACCUAAAUAUAAUUAGUAUAUCUAAUAUUUUAGAAAUUUUUUACUACACAUAUAUGUUUGUAUAUACAUAGUUUGGUUAUGUAUAUAUUGGUAUAAAUAUACAAUACAUAACAAGUUAUUUCUGUAUGUUUUCAUACACAUAAUAACUCUAUACUUUUAACGUUGUCAUAUGUUUUGUAUAUUAGCAUAUACUGAUGAUAUGUAUAUGUUGUCCCUGAAUAAAUAUUAUUCAACAAUAAAGAUUGUUCCUGAAUAAUUUUGUAUAUGGUGUGUUGAAAAAAUAUCAGACAAAUAUAUACAUAGCUGAAUUUUGCAAAUACACAUCUCUGACUAUAAUUUUUUUCACC
rnacentral:lncRNA from 1 species